rnacentral:rRNA from 1 species
CCUACGGGAGGCAGCAGUGAGGAAUAUUGGUCAAUGGGCUUACGCCUGAACCAGCCAAGUCGCGUGAGGGAAGACUGCCCUAUGGGUUGUAAACCUCUUUUGUCAGGGAGCAAGGGCGGGGACGUGUCCCGGCCCGGAGAGUACCCGGAGAAAAAGCAUCGGCUAACUCCGUGCCAGCAGCCGCGGUAAUACGGAGGAUGCGAGCGUUAUCCGGAUUUAUUGGGUUUAAAGGGAGCGUAGGCCGGCUUUUAAGUCAGCUGUGAAAGUCCGCGGCUCAACCGUGGAAUUGCAGUUGAAACUGGAGGCCUUGAGUGCACACAGGGAUGCCGGAAUUCAUGGUGUAGCGGUGAAAUGCUUAGAUAUCAUGAAGAACUCCGAUCGCGAAGGCAAGUGUCCGGGGUGCAACUGACGCUGAGGCUCGAAAGUGCGGGUAUCAAACAGGAUUAGAUACCCUGGUAGUC